rnacentral:lncRNA from 1 species
AUAACUAUUAUUAUGCCUCACUGCCUUUCCUCAUUUUGAAGUAAGGGAGAUUUCAUGGUAAUUAGAAAGCUACCUGUAAGGUGCUUAGAGGCAACAUUUCUGGCAUGUUGUUAGUAAACAGUAACUUGUAACACUUAUCAUUCCUGCCUUUGUUGUGCAUGAGUAUUUGAGGAAAUCUUUGUUCCAGCAGGCUCACUCUUAAAAUCCUUUUAAGUGCCCAACAUUUUAUCUAAAAUUUCUAGUGAAACACUCAGCUCUGAAGUAGUUAUUUAUAAGACAAAAUCAGAUAUUUUCACUUCAUGUUAUUUCUCAGUUGAGUUUAGAGAAUAUAUGGUGA